UAAGUGUUCAUCAAAACACAUGCAUGCAACAGAAUUAUCAUGUGACAAUGAUGCUAAUCAUUAUAUUUUAUCCCUCUUGUCCUGACAAUAUAUUGCUGGCAAUGCAUCAUACAAUAAAUCAACACUCUGUCAGGGAAUUAUUUUCACAAUUAUGUCUAUUUAAUGUAUUUUGUUAAAUAUUAACCAUUUUUACAUGUUUAUAAAAUCAG